rnacentral:lncRNA from 1 species
GAGUAUUAUUUACCUUAAAUGUGCCGAAUUUGGAAUGAGUGACCUCGACUGUACCAUAUGGGAAAAUGUUAUGUACCGUAAAAGGGAUUGCUCUAUUAGGUUCAGAGUGGUAAUGCGAGGGUCUACUGCAUCUAAUAGUCCUUUGUCUCCAACCUUAAGUUGAUUUGGUGAAACAUUGAGUCUGUCAUGGCGUGGUUUUGGUUUAUCGUGUGUUCUCAGUUUCUGUGCACGCCAUUCAUCUAGUUCCUCGAUUUGUAGCCUUCACUCUUCAUAGAUAGGUCAUUUGUUGUUACUUGAACAUGGCUCGUGUAUGCUCCUCAAACGUGUUUCCUACAAAGAAAGUUGCAUCACAUGAUCAGUAUUAGUAGAAUGAUUUAUACAACCACCCUCGAUAUUCGAUGUGUUACUCGAAUUACGAGCUUGAACAGUGAUU